ACCGUCACGACGCCACCACUACUUUCCUCCUCACCGCAGGCAGUCCAACCAUCUCUCUCAGCUUCAUCUUCCUCUUUCCCUUCUUAGAUUGACGCCUCUUCCUCUCCUGAUCAGGAUUGACUCACAACGCAUCUCCUCCACCUCCUCCCUUUGGGUAAGAAGAGGAACGAGAAAGGAGAGGUGACGGGUUGGUCUUGUUUUCUAGGGUUUCAAAGUAGUAGCGGCGGAGGGAGCCAAGAUGAAGACGACUAGAGGGAAAGGAUCUCGACAUCUCGUCACGGAGGAGACCAGAAAAGCGAAGCCCAAGGCUGGCACUUCCCUUUCCCGAGCCGCCGUUAGUGUAAGUUCCCACCUCUCGAGCCGCUGUCACUUCCCUUUCCCGAGCAGCUCAAUCGGCCAAAGCAUGCCCAGUCUCCGACGCCACCCACCGCGAUCCUCGCUGCCUCAGCGCCAUCAUCUCCGUCCUCACCCUCGACGGUCGCCCGCUGGAAGCUCUUCGCCUCUUCAAAUGGUUCCAGACCUCCACCCUCGACCCCGACGAGUUCACCCUCUCCAAUGCGCUCUCGCUCUCCGCCAAUCUCAGCGCGCUGGACCAGGGAAGGCAGAUCCAAGCUCUCGUCUUCAAGAAGAAUCUACCCAUGGACGUCGCCGCCACCAACUCGCUCAUCAAUCUCUACUUCAAGUGCGGCAGCAUCGCCGACGCGGAGAAGGUGUUCGACGGUAUGCUUCUGAGAGACGUCUACACUUGGAACAAUAGAAACAAAACGUCAUCUAAAACACUCCCUAGAUUCCAAAAACUCUACUCGAGAAGAAAACUCCUCUCUACAAGUUCUUGUUCUCCAAGAUUCAUUGCACGUCAUGCAUGCUGUGCACAGGUGUCAUACUCAUUUGGGCACAUGAUGUUCUGCUCAAUACUGAGAAAUACCAUACCAAGCAAUUCUCAGUAGAAAUCAUAUUAAGUGGAAAUCUCCUUGAAUGUGUUUGGACGGUCUACUUGCACGAUUUGUUCUUAGACAUAACACAGUUCAUGUUUUUUUUUAUUCCUCUAAAUAUAGAUCACUAUAUUGAACUUCACC